rnacentral:rRNA from 1 species
UCUUAGAUGUAAAUAAAUUUUAAUUUACCAGAGUACUACGAACCAUAAAUUUAAAACUCAAAGAGCUUGGCGGUGCCUUAGACUUUUCAGGGGAACCUGUCUCAUAAUCGACAAUCCACGAACAACCUCACCCUUUUUUGCAAACAGUAUGUAUACCGUCGUCGCCAGGUAACUUUUAAAAAUAUAACAGUUAGCUAAGAAACUAUUUAGUUUUCACGUCAGAUCAAGGUGCAGCCUAUAAAAGGGAGAAGAUGGGUUACAAUUAAAAUUUAUAAUUACGGAUAGUGGUCAAAAAAGCCACUUGAAGGAGGACUUGAAAGUAAAAGUUAGUAAUCAAAUGCUUUGAAUUAAGCUCUGAGGCGUGCACACAUCGCCCGUCGCUCUCGUUGAAAAAUGAGAUAAGUCGUAACAUAGUAGAGGUAAUGGAAGUUGCCUCUAAAUU